AACAAACGAAUAUGCUUACCGUAGACAGCAGGUGACUGAGCUUUCGGUCUUAAUUUCCUGCCGAGGUGUUAUGAUAAACGUUCGAUAUUCAAAGCUUCACAGCUUAUGGAAUAUGGGAAUCAUCAUGCCUUCGCUCUUGUCUGCGAAGGCAUUUUUGCUUGCAGCG
rfam:Paenibacillus sp. TNCCL117 genome assembly, contig: FG16DRAFT_scaffold00034.34